rnacentral:rRNA from 1 species
GUCUGCAACCCGACUCCAUGAAGCUGGAUUCGCUAGUAAUCGCGCAUCAGCCACGGCGCGGUGAAUACUUCCCGGGCCUUGUACACACCGCCCGUCAAGCCAUGGAAGCCGGGAGUGCCUGAAGUGCGUGAGCGCAAGCAGCGCCCUAAGGUAAAACCGGUGACUGGGGCUAAGUCGUAACAAGGUAUC